GCGGCGCGCUUACGCAUGCAAGUCGAGCGAUGAGGUCCCUUCGGGGAGUCAUCAGCGGCAGACGGGUGAGUAACACGUAGAUAACCUGCCCUCAAGACGGGGACAACCGGUGGAAACAGCGGCUAAUACCCGAUAUGCUCACAGGAUCGGGAGAUCGAGUGAGGAAAGCGCCCCUUCGGGGGAGAGUGUUUGAGGAGGGAUCUGCGGCCCAUCAGCUAGUUGGUGAGGUAACGGCUCACCAAGGCGAAGACGGGUAGGGGGUGUGAGAGCAUGGCCCCCCACAAUGGGACUGAGACACGGCCCAUACUCCUACGGGAGGCAGCAGCGGGGAAUAUUGCGCAAUGGACGGAAGUCAGACGCAGCGACGCCGCGUGGGUGAGGAAGGCCUUCGGGUUGUAAAGCCCUUUUCAGGGGAGCGAGAAAGGACGGUACCCUUGGAAUAAGCGUCGGCUAACUACGUGCCAGCAGCCGCGGUAAGACGUAGGACGCAAGCGUUAUCCGGAUUUACUGGGCGUAAAGCGCCUGUAGGCGGUCAAGUAAGUCGGAUGUGAAAGCCCCGUGCUCAACGCGGGGAAGCCAUUCGAUACUGCGUGACUAGAGAACGGCAGAGGGAAACGGAAUUUCUGGUGUAGCGGUAAAAUGCCGCAGAGAUCAGAAAGAACACCGAUGGCGAAGGCAGUUUCCUAGGCCGCAUCUGACGCUGAGAGGCGAAAGCUAGGGGAGC
rnacentral:rRNA from 1 species